rnacentral:misc_RNA from 1 species
CCGAGUUUACAACUCCCAAACCCCUGUGAACAUACCUAUCGUUGCUUCGGCGGAUCCGCCCCGGCGCCCUCGGGCCCGGAUCAGGCGCCCGCCGGAGACCCCAAACUCUUGUAUUUCUUUAGUAUCUUCUGAGUAAACAAGCAAAUAAAUUA